GUUACCCUACGGGGCGCAGCAGUGGGGAAUAUUGCACAAUGGGGGAAACCCUGAUGCAGCGACGCCGCGUGAGUGAAGAAGUAUUUCGGUAUGUAAAGCUCUAUCAGCAGGGAAGAUAAUGACGGUACCUGACUAAGAAGCCCCGGCUAACUACGUGCCAGCAGCCGCGGUAAUACGUAGGGGGCAAGCGUUAUCCGGAUUUACUGGGUGUAAAGGGAGCGUAGGUGGCAGGGCAAGUCAGAUGUGAAAACCCGGGGCUCAACUCCGGGAGUGCAUUUGAAACUGUAUGGCUGGAGUGCUGGAGG
rnacentral:rRNA from 1 species